AGGCUCCAGAUUGUUCUACUCCUGAUGUCAGGAGGAAGCUGAUUUACCUUUGGAAUGAGAUAACCUCUGGGAUCCCUGAACAGUUAAAGGGCAGACGGAAAUAAGGCUUGGCAAUGAAGAUGGACAAGGAACAUAUGCCAGUGCACAUCUAUUAUAAGCCAUUUAUCCCAGACUGUGAUGCAAGUGUGCUUAAGUCUGAAAUGCAAGUGACUCGUACUUACAGGCAAAAUACAUUCCAGCUGAGGAAAAAAGGAUUUUUGUUGCUGAUUUAAUGGAGUGACAGCCUUUCAGAAGUCUUUAAAUUCACCAUUUUCACUGAUGUCACCCUGUUACCAGAAAGGAGUCCUAAUUCUGACCCCAAGAGAAGGUCCUUAAAUCUCGUGCAAGAAAGAUUUCAGGAUUCAAAGAAUUAGCUGGACUAUGUCUCCAGGUGGAUGACUCUAUGGAAACUUUGAGCUGUAUGGAACAACCUCCUGAUCAUCCAUUUACCUUGCUUUGGUACAUUAGGACUUUAAUAGAAACUGCCUAAUGUGCAGGUAAGUCAGCAAGAAAUGAAAUAUGGGUCAUUAUUCAGUGGUACCAAUUGAGCAGAGCAGCCAAAUGUAAAUCAUUGAGAAAUGGGAAUGGUUCAUCCCGUUUUGCAAUUUGAAGUAAGUCUAAAGACUUCAUGUGGCAGAGAGGUCCCAGGGUUCACUUUGGAAAGCUGAGCAGCAAGUUUCUCUCUUCUAAGGGUCCAUCUGAUACUAACAAUUCUAAUCUCUGGCAAAUGGAAGCACAGACUGUAUUUUUCCCUAUGCUCUCUAAUUGUCUAACAAUAACCUUCAUGUACAUAUGUUAUACUAUGUGACUUUCAGUUUGUCACUUGGGUUUUCCAAACCUCACUUAAUUCAUAAGACAAAAAUUACAGCUACUCUGGCUACUCGGCAUGAUUCUCUUUUAGCACUGAAUAAACUAUGCAACAGAACUUGGA